UACAGAGGUCUCGAGCGUUAGGCGGAAUCACUGGGCUUAAAGCGUGUGUAGGCGGAUCCGUAAGUACUUUGUGAAAUCCCAUGGCUCACCCAUGGAACUGCUUGGCAUACUGGCGAUCUUGAGCUACUUAGGGGCAACCGGAACAAACGGUGGAGCGGUGAAAUGCGUAGAUAUCGUUUGGAACGCCAAUGGUGAAAACAGGUUGCUGGGAGUGCGCUGACGCUGAGACACGAAAGCCAGGGGAGCAAACGGG
rnacentral:rRNA from 1 species